rnacentral:misc_RNA from 1 species
UCCGGUUUGUCACCGGCAGUCCCAUUAGAGUGCUCAACUGAAUGUAGCAACUAAAGAUAAGGGUUGCGCUCGUUGCGGGACUUAACCCAACAUCUCACGACACGAGCUGACGACAGCCAUGCAGCACCUUGCACUCUGCCUAAGUUUCCCUAAGAGGCUCCAUCUCUGGAGUUGUCAGAGGCAUUCUAGCCCAGGUAAGGUUCUUCGCGUUGCGUCGAAUUGAACCACAUGCUCCACCGCUUGUGCGGGCCCCCGCCUAUUCCUUUGAGUUUUAGCCUUGCGGCCGUACUCCCCAGGCGGGGCACUUAAUGCGUUAGCUACGGCACAGAAUGCAUUGGUAACAUCCCACACCUAGUGCCCAACGUUUACCGCGUGGACUAC